AAAGGAGGUGUAAGAGACCCCCAACGGCGACGAUGGGUAGCCGGCCUGAGAGGGGUGACCGGCCACCACUGGAACUGAGACACGGUCCAGACUCCUACGGGAGGCAGCAGUGGGGAANCCUUCCGCAAUGGGCGCAAGCCUGACGGCAGCAACGCGCGUGAGUGAAGAAGGGCCCUUCGGGUUGUAAAACUCUGUCAUCAGGGAAGAGGAAAGUGACGGUACCUGCAGGAGGAAGCCCCGGCUAACUACGUGCCAGCAGCCGCGGUAAACACGUAGGCGGCGAGCGUUGUCCGGGAAUUACUGGGCGUAAAGGGCGCGUAGGCGGUUAUCCCAAGUCAGGGGUGAAAACCUUGGGCUCAACUCAG
rnacentral:rRNA from 1 species